rnacentral:sRNA from 1 species
GUUGGGCACAGUGGCACAUGCCUGUAAUCCUAGUGAUUAGGAGACUGAGGCAGGAGAAUCGAAAGUUCUGAGUUUGGGCAAUUUAGUGAGAUCCUGUUUCAA